UAUCUUCUCCCUCUGUUCCAAAUUACUCGUCGCAGAAAUGGAUGUAUCUAGAACUAAAAUACAUUUAGAUACAUCCAUACCUGCGACAAGUGAUUCGGGACGAAGGGAGUACAUC
rfam:Triticum aestivum genome assembly, contig: Triticum_aestivum_CS42_TGACv1_scaffold_436455_5DL